rnacentral:rRNA from 2 species
CCGCUUGCAGGUAAACAGAUGGACCCACGAAGUCCAGUUGGGUGAAGGAUUCAAAUUUUUCAAUAAACACUGAUGACAGCUAAAGACCUCUUUGAGGAGUUUACUGUUGUUUGCUGUUGAUUGAAGGAUGCAUUUCUUUCAUCCACGAUGGAGCUCUGACUACUCUACAGACUUUAACUGCUUUGAGCCCCUGUAAGUGUGGUAGAAUUCUUCGAAUUCAAUUCACACUACAUCAGGUGAAGUAAGUGAAGUCAACAUGAGUAGGUGAAAUUUCUACGCAAGUAGAGUUUCAGGUCGUCUACAACUUCAGUGUGGUCAAAGAUGAAUGCUUUGUAUGCCUUUCGACUCUCGUAGUUGAAGUCUACUGGCAGCUUGUCUUUAAGUACCACAUUGUCUUUGUUAAUGACAAUCCAGAGUAAGUAGGUCGGUCAUCCAUCUGACCCGUCUUGAAACACGGACCAAGGAGUCCAACAUAUGCGCGAGUCGCUCGGUCUUGAAUAGGCCUGAGAGGCGAAAUAAACAUAAUGGUAUGAUCUUUUGAUGCCUUUCGAGGCUAGAAGGCGCAAUACCGACCUGCUUAUCUUGCCUUUUGACAAGGAAGCGGAGUUUGAGCGUACAUGUUGGUACCCGAAAGAUGGUGAACUAUACUUGGGCAGGACGAAGCCAGAGGAAACUCUGGUGGAGGUCCGUAGCGAUUCUGACGUGCAAAUCGAUCGUCAGACCUGAGUAUAGGGGCGAAAGACUAAUCGAACCAUCUAGUAGCUGGUUCCCUCCGAAGUUUCCCUCAGGAUAGCUGGUACUAAUACAACUCUGUAGCAUCCGGUAAAGCGAAUGAUUAGAGGUCUUGGGAUCGAAACGAUCUCAACCUAUUCUCAAACUUUAAAUGGGUGCGAGGCUCGACUUUUUUGCUCUAAAGUCUUGCUUCGUAAGAGUAGUACCAAGUGGGCCAUUUUUGGUAAGCAGAACUGGCGCUGUGGGAUGAACCAAACGUUGAGUUAAGGCACCAAAUGCUGACGCUCAUGAGACCCCAUGAAAGGUGUUGGUUGCUAUAGACAGC